rnacentral:lncRNA from 1 species
CUCUUCUAGCGGUUCUAGAAGUUCGUCAGCUCUAGUUUCUCAGAGUCCUUGUACCAUAGACGGACCCGUAGUCGGGACCGAACCUCAUCUGGUCUUUGCACCGGACACCAUCUCCAGGUCUUUGACUCCAGAUGAACUCUCACUGAUAAGGAUUCAGUAUGGAGUUCCUCUGGAGUAUGAGCUGGAGCUUCCCGGGCCAACUGACCGGGCUAGCGCCCCUCCUCCCGGCCACUUCUGUCUGUAUCAGGGGGCCUUCCGUGCCGG